rnacentral:rRNA from 1 species
GACGAACGCUGGCGGCGUGCCUAAUACAUGCAAGUAGAACGCUGAAGAGAGGAGCUUGCUCUUCUUGGAUGAGUUGCGAACGGGUGAGUAACGCGUAGGUAACCUGCCUGGUAGCGGGGGAUAACUAUUGGAAACGAUAGCUAAUACCGCAUAAUAGUAGAUGUUGCAUGACAUUUGCUUAAAAGGUGCAAUUGCAUCACUACCAGAUGGACCUGCGUUGUAUUAGCUAGUUGGUGGGGUAACGGCUCACCAAGGCAACGAUACAUAGCCGACCUGAGAGGGUGAUCGGCCACACUGGGACUGAGACACGGCCCAGACUCCUACGGGAGGCAGCAGUAGGGAAUCUUCGGCAAUGGACGGAAGUCUGACCGAGCAACGCCGCGUGAGUGAAGAAGGUUUUCGGAUCGUAAAGCUCUGUUGUAAGAGAAGAACGAGUGUGAGAGUGGAAAGUUCACACUG